rnacentral:rRNA from 1 species
CAGCCGUAAACUAUGCGCGUUAGGUGUAUCGGUGACCACGAGUUACCGAGGUGCCGAAGGGAAACCGUGAAACGUGCCGCCUGGGAAGUACGGUCGCAAGGCUGAAACUUAAAGGAAUUGGCGGGGGAGCACCACAACAGGUGGAGCCUGCGGUUUAAUUGGACUCAACGCCGGGAAGCUCACCGGAUAGGACAGACAUAUGAUAGUCGGGCUGAAGACUCUACUUGAUGAUCUGAGAGGUGGUGCAUGGCGUCAGUGACU